rnacentral:antisense_RNA from 1 species
CAUUCACCACCCCAUGACGCGGCGCCGGGUCGCCGCCGCAGAUUCGACACAAAACCCGGAAGGACCCCGCCGAAGGUUUUCUCCGGUUCGUGAGAGGGACGGAGUCCCGCUCUGUCACGCAGGCUGCCAGGCUGGCGUACAGUGGCGCAAUCUCAGCUCACUGCAACCUCCACCUCCUGGGUUCAAGCGAUUUUCUUGCCUCUGCCUCCUGAGUAGCUGGGAUUACUGGCACACACCACCAAUGCACAGGGAGCUAUGAGACAUCAAUCAAUAUAUGUAAGAUGUACAUCAGUUUCAUCUGGAGAGAUGGGACAACAUGAAGCAGGGAGGGGGCUCCCAGGUCACAGUUCCUUGUUCAAAAUGCCAAGAACCUGGAUGACUCAUAGUCAAGACCCUCCACCAGUAACAUAUAUUGGCGAGCCAGCCAGGAG